rnacentral:rRNA from 2 species
CGACGCCCAACACACAAAACAAGCGGUGAGUGCUUUGGGGUGGGGUGACUGCGUACCUUUUGUAUAAUGGGUCAGCGACUUAUAUUCUGUAGCAAGGUUAACCGUAUAGGGGAGCCGAAGGGAAACCGAGUCUUAACUGGGCGUUAAGUUGCAGGGUAUAGACCCGAAACCCGGUGAUCUAGCCAUGGGCAGGUUGAAGGUUGGGUAACACUAACUGGAGGACCGAACCGACUAAUGUUGAAAAAUUAGCGGAUGACUUGUGGCUGGGGGUGAAAGGCCAAUCAAACCGGGAGAUAGCUGGUUCUCCCCGAAAGCUAUUUAGGUAGCGCCUCGUGAACUCAUCUUCGGGGGUAGAGCACUGUUUCGGCUAGGGGGUCAUCCCGACUUACCAACCCGAUGCAAACUGCGAAUACCGAAGAAUGUUAUCACGGGAGACACACGGCGGGUGCUAACGUCCGUCGUGAAGAGGGAAACAACCCAGACCGCCAGCUAAGGUCCCAAAGUCACAGUUAAGUGGGAAACGAUGUGGGAAGGCUCAGACAGCCAGGAUGUUGGCUUAGAAGCAGCCAUCAUUUAAAGAAAGCGUAAUAGCUCACUGGUCGAGUCGGCCUGCGCGGAAGAUGUAACGGGGCUAAACUGUGCACCGAAGCUGCGGCAGCGACGCUUAUGCGUUGUUGGGUAGGGGAGCGUUCUGUAAGCCUGCGAAGGUGUCCUGUGAGGGAUGCUGGAGGUAUCAGAAGUGCGAAUGCUGACAUAAGUAACGAUAAUGCGGGUGAAAAGCCCGCUCGCCGGAAGACCAAGGGUUCCUGUCCAACGUUAAUCGGGGCAGGGUGAGUCGACCCCUAAGGCGAGGCCGAAAGGCGUAGUCGAUGGGAAACGGGUUAAUAUUCCCGUACUUGGUGUUACUGCGAAGGGGGGACGGAGAAGGCUAUGUUGGCCGGGCGACGGUUGUCCCGGUUUAAGCGUGUAGGCUGGUUUUCCAGGCAAAUCCGGAAAAUCAAG